AUUGAACGCUGGCGGCAGGCUUAACACAUGCAAGUCGAGCGAGCGGCGGACGGGUGAGUAAUGUCUGGGAAACUGCCUGAUGGAGGGGGAUAACUACUGGAAACGGUAGCUAAUACCGCAUACCAUCAGAUGUGCCCAGAUGGGAUUAGCUAGUAGGUUGGGUAAUGGCUCACCUAGGCGACGAUCCCUAGCUGGUCUGAGAGGAUGACAAGCUACACCAGAACGGAACCACGGCCCGGUCUCCUACGGGACGCGGGGGAGGGGAGUGUUGCACUAUGGGAGCGAGCCUAAUGUGACCAUGCCGCGUAGGGUAAGGAGGCCUGCGGGUUGUAAUGCUCAUUCAGUGUGAAGGCGGUACUCGCAGAAGAAGCAUCGGCUAACUCCGUGCCAGCAGCCGCGGUAAUUC
rnacentral:rRNA from 1 species